rnacentral:snRNA from 1 species
GGAUGUGAGGGAGCUCUGGCUGCAACAUCUGUCACCCACUGAUCAUCAGGGUUGAUGUGGCUGAUCUGACUGGCUAGGUGGGUGUCCCCUUCCUCCCUCACAGCUCCAUGUGCAUCCCUCCCAAAGCUGUGCACUUGAUCUACUGGUCCUUCUCCAAUAGAGGACUGUUCUUUGGUCAAGGGCACAUGACUAGCUGUGCUCCCCCGCUAGAAUCUCCAAACAAACUCUCCAAUAGGAAAACAAUCUAAAUUUCCAUUAAGAGAAAAAUUAUUAACUACAUUAUGUAAUAUUGUGUAGCCAAU